UAGGUUGUUGUACUCCGAAGCAGAUCUGUUGCCAAUCAAAUUUCUCCUAAAAGGUUUAAUGCUUGUAGCAAAUAGGAGGAGCAUCAGCAACAGCACAGAGUGCAGCAAACAGAUCUAAUGCAAAGACAGAACAGAAGAGAUGAGAAAACUUUUGGAAGGGUGAAGAAAGAAAUACAGUUACUAUCGGGGGAAAUGCUUCUUAAAGGAAAAAAGAUAUAAACCAAUGAUCAUACAGUUCAUCAUUAUUCAAGCAACAUGUCACGGCCAACGAACAGAAGACAAGAUAAUCACAAAAUAGACUGGCAUUUACCAAGCAUCACAUCCUCUGCCUCAGCACAUCACAUGAGCAGAGAACUCUUUGUGCUCACCUACGGGGCUUUGGUAGCCCAGCUGUGUAAGGACUACGAAAAGGAUGAAGAUGUGAACAAGCAUCUAGACAGAAUGGGAUAUGACAUUGGUAUAAGGCUGGUUGAAGACUUUUUGGCUCGCUCUGCUGUGAGGAAGUGCCGUAGCUAUUCUGAAACUGUAGACGUGAUUGCACAGGUUGCUUUCAAGAUGUACCUUGGGGUUACCCCUAGUGUGAGCUGCAGUAACACAACAGAAAAUGAAUUCUUCUUAAUGCUGGACAAGAACCCUUUAGUGGACUUUGUGGAGGAGCUCCCAGCAGGACGAUGUUCACUUUGCUACUGUAACCUCCUGUGUGGUGUUAUUAGAGGAGCCCUGGAAAUGGUUCACUUAGCAGCAGAAGUUACCUUCGUUCAAGACAGACUGAAGGGUGAUGAUGUGACGGAAAUAGGAAUUACAUUUUCAAAGAAGCUCGAAGACAAAAAGCACAAAAGACAGAAGUGAAGCUGAUAGAAGGAAUCCUCUCUAACUUACAAUUUGCCCAUUUUUACCUAUUUAGAAAGAAAAUCCACACGGUGGCAAUGGCUUCAUUGAUUCAGUUUAUGAAGUGUGCUGAAGAUCUUCUGGUUAAUGUUGAAAGAGUCCAAAGCAGAAGCUUCUUCCCAGGCCCGGAAACUUGGCAUGGG